UACCAGCACCCCGAGUGGUCGGGACGAUUAUUGGGCCUAAAGCAUCCGUAGUCGGUUCUACAAGUCUUCCGUUAAAUCCACCUGCUUAACAGAUGGGCUGCGGAGGAUACUAUAGAGCUAGGAGGCGGGAGAGGCAAGCGGUACUUAGUGGGUAGGGGUAAAAUCCGUUGAUCCAUUGAAGACCACCAGUGGCGAAGGCGGCUUGCCAGAACGCACUCGACGGUGAGGGAUGAAAGCUGGGGGAGCAAACCGG
rnacentral:rRNA from 1 species